UGAAAAGUACAGAACCGCUUUAUUAAAUUCAUAACAGUAUAAUAACUAUGAUGAGAGUACUGUCCAAACAAACAGCAGUAUGGUCAUUCAUGGAUAAGAGAACAGGAGGAAUGAUCGAUGGCGGCAACACAGCCUUCACAUGUUCUCCGAAUGUUACUUAUUCAAAAAAAACAAUACAUAAAAUCCUUCCUAAAGCAAGUUAAUGAACGAUUACGAUAAGAGAUAUAAAGUACAAACAUGAAUGAAAUUGCAUUUACUUCUGUGAUUUCCUCAAUAGGUUACAUCUGCAUACUCAAGCCUACUGAUAAACAUGUCACUUGUAAAAUAAUGAACUGUCUUGGCUCAAUCACGUUUUCAAACCCAGGUUUGGACACAGGUCAGAUUUGGUCAGCUGCAGAAAAGGCGCACACACAUUACACACCUUCAGCUAUAUUUUUUUUUUUUUCCUCAUUGGAAGUAAUGUUCAAGUUAUUCUCCAUUCAAGUGCCACAACCCUCACUAGGUUUUCCAAAACGCUUUUCACAACCACUACAGCAUGGGUGUGAACGCUCAGGCGUGACUCUGAUUGCAGCAGUAAUCCGCACUUAAGUCAAACUAUGUCAAGCUUUUGUGGUUGUUUUGCACUUGGCAUCUUCGCCUCCUGAUUGCUCGAAGUUGGUGCAAAGUUUGCCCUUUGAUUAUGAGACUUCACCAAACCAUUGAAUCAUAAUUAUGACUCACUGUAAGUGGGUGUGACAUAGCAUUGUUUACCUUUAGUUUGAGAGCCAUUGUUUAAGGGAAGUAUGCUAUUUUGUCAAGAGUCAAAACCACCCAAAAAAACAACUUUUUUUUUUUUUUUUUUUUUAAGUUUACCCUGAGAUGAAAUCUCCAUGUUACACAUCCAAUAAUCAUGUGAAAAAGGGGCAUAUUUUAGUGUACAGAACAGGCAACACACGUGGCAACGGUACAAUAUUAAGUACAACUUGCUGGUGUUCAAUUUAAAGCUUCUUCUUAGCUCUCUUGUGCUGGGUUAAGCUACAAUAGUGUAAGCGUACAAAGAGCACCACGCACCUGUGUAGUAGUGACAAACUCAGAGGGUCAGGUAGUCGUAGUUUGGGGUAUUUAACACAGCAACAGGCACAAACAAGUGCAAAAAAACAGACUUGAAGAACAAGUGAGGAGUGCACCACCUGGUUCGGUUUGCAAAUGCCUCGGCUGACUUUAAGGCUGAUACAAGUUAUUGAAGGUAAAACUGCUACGUGUACUUUAAAGUUGUAUUUUGAAGAAAUAACCGCCAUACGUUAGGGUCCUUUUAUUUUGAGGCGGACAAUUUCUUCAAAGCAUCAACCAAAACAGGAAGAGAGAUGUCUUACUUUAGCUAAAGCAACUCAAAUUUCAGAGGGUGUCAGCAGUACACCGUUCCCAACAGCUGCAUCCCUGCCAAUAAAAUUCCAAACAAUCUUUUGACAGAGAAGAGUAUAAUUAACAACAGAGUGUGAAAAAAGCUGAUCCAAAUUAGGGACUCUUUGGAGUUGGAGGAGAGCGACAUUGUCAGCAUGACAUUAAUUUAUUUCUGGCGCAGCUUCAGAAUGAGUUUUGAGUGAUUGCUAAAGUCAUUAUGUUUCAAAUUCCACAUGUAGCAGCUUUAAAAACCAAAAUACAGGCCAAGCAAUUCAAAUGACUUAUGGUAUAUGUUCAUUCCCAUCUUGAACAUCUUAUAAAAGGCACUAAUUGUGUAGACAUCCAAUAGAAAACCUGGGAUCAAGAUGUGACUCGUGUCUUAAACGUCAGCGGUUUAAAACUGUUUAAUCAAACGUGCUUUCGGCUUCAGAUUAGCAGUAGACUGCAGUAGUAAAACAGGUGCUUCACCUGACCCUAAAUGUGUAAUCCGACUAGAAAUGUUGGCAGCAGUCGCAUACAGGUGUACUUCACAGACAAAGUUAAGUUUCACUAAAUGUGGAUCAUAAAAAGCAACAGAGAGAAACAGAGAACAAUCAUUCCAACUUAUCAGAACACUGGAACCAAAGUCAAUGGAUUCUGUUAAUUAAUAAGACUAGUCAGAAAGUUGCAGAUGCAUUAUGGAAAGGUUCAGAAUAAAAGUGAGUAGGUACAUAUGGAAGAGGCAAAACAGAGUUUAGCUUUUCUGCACCCCAAACUUCAUCCUGCUCAAUAAACAAUCAACCAUUGUUCACUUGGUGUCCCCAUGUGAUGGUAAUGUUUAAAAUUACUUUACUCACCCGGUCCCAAUAAUCUGAAAUAGCCUGAAGAAAUUAAAAUCUCAAGCAAGAGCUUGGGUUUUCGGAGGUUAAGACAUCAUCAGAGUUGUAAAAGAACAGUUUGACAUUUUGGGGAUUCUCUUUUCCUAAACCCGUCUUCAUGUGUUUCUUAUUAUAUGGAUAACAGCAAAACUAUGUCAAAGUGGCAACUUUAAAAGUGCUUGCCAGUGGAUUUUGUUACUCUCCAACAUGGAUUAAACCUCCUCCCAGACUAAAUCCAAGGAAGACCUUCAGUGGAAAAAGUUUAUGGUCUAUCUUAGCUUAAUCCAUGUCUGGGAAAUGAAGGCAGUAAGACAUAGUAAUGCUAGCUACUUCCCCAUCUGGUGAUUGUGCUGGUUUGACCUUAUGUUUAACAGAUGAAGUAUGUGACAAACAUUUUCCCAAAAUGUCAGACUAUUGAUGUCGACAGAUUUUAGAGAGAAGUUAGAAGAUCAAGGGUUACUGCGCUUGUGGAAAAAUGGUUUCAUAUCCACGUUAUUGCGACACAUCUGACUCGUCAGAUACUUGUCAUAAAUGAAUCCUCUAGACUUUCACUGGUCGGUGACAUUUUAAUUCAGUCAACUGAAAAAACCCACUGGUUUUUGAGUGGGGAAGAAGGCGGCCAACUGUUCAAAAAGCGAACCAAAUGUCCUUCAUUCAUCAGCUCCAAAAAACUCCUAAAGACAUUUGUCAAGACACCAGAUUUUAAGUUUUAAGUUCAACAUAGCCAGAUCCCGCCUACAUCAGCAGCUUCAACCAAAUACAAUGCUGAGUGGCGUACUGUCUUUGGUUUGUGUUCAAAUAGUGGACCGAGGUACAGACAUGUAACGAAAUAUGAGCACAUUUGUGCAAAGAUGAACCCUCUAAUUCAGGGGUCCCCAAUCUCAAUCCACGAGGGCCGGUGUCCCUGCAGGUUUUAGAUCUCGCCCUGGGUCAACA
ensembl:lncRNA